CCUACGGGUGGCAGCAGUGGGGAAUAUUGCACAAUGGGGGAAACCCUGAUGCAGCGACGCAGCGUGAGCGAGGAAGUAUUUCGGUAUGUAAAGCUCUAUCAGCAGGGACGAAAAAAGACGGUAGCUGACUAAUAAGCCCCGGCUGAAUACGUGCAAGCAGCCACGGUAAUACGUAGGGGGCCAGCGUUAUUCAGAAUUACUGGGUGGAAAGGGUGCGGAGACGGCAAGGCAAGCCAGAAGGGAAAGGGCAGGGCUCAACCCUGGACAUGCUUUUGGUACUGUUGUGCGAGAGUGCAGGAGAGGUAAGUGGAAUUCUUAGUGUAGCGGUGAAAUGCGUAGAUAUUAGGAGGAACACCAGUGGCGAAGGCGGUUUACUGGACUGUAACUGACGUUGAGGCUCGAAAGCGUGGGGAGCAAACAGGAUUAGAUACCCCUGUAGUC
rnacentral:rRNA from 1 species